rnacentral:lncRNA from 1 species
CCGAACCGUCCAUAACUCUCAUCUCUUUUUAGAUUAGAUAUUCUCUUUUUCUUUCAAUAGCCGGCAAAAUGACUACAGGAUCAUCGGUCUACUCUACCUCAAUUCACCAUUUCGAACUUUAUACAGAAGGUUUUUCCGUACCAGCUCCUUCUACCUAUACCGCUGUUGAAGCACCUAAAGGAGAAUUUGGUGUCUUUCUGGUCAGUAAUGGAAGCAAUCGUCCCUACCGUCGUAAAAUAAGAGCACCUGGCUCUGCCCAUUCACAAGGACUCGAUUCUCUGUCCAAACAUCACAUGCCAGCAGAUGUGGUCACCAUCAUAGGUACUCAAGAUAUUGUGUCUGGAGAGGUGGAUAGAUAGGACUACGUCUUGCUCGAUCAGGAUGCUAGCUUUAUUGCGAGCCAAAAACCUUGUUUGCGGCAUUCCCCCGGUCAAAAUAGAUAAAUUAUGGAAUUCUCUGUAAGAGCUGCGGAACUAACAACUCUAUUAGAAAGUAGAAUUACCAACUUUUACACUAAUUUUCAAGUGGAUGAGAUCGGUCGAGUGGUCUCCGUUGGAGAUGGGAUUGCACGUGUUUAUGGAUUGGCUUAUUUCCUCCUGGAUAAGAAUUUUGCGAAACUAACAAAUCUUUUUGAUACCGGCAGCGGUGAGAUAUUUGACAUCUAUUCUCACAUGAGAAUUGAAUUAAUUUCAUUCAUCAAAGACUCUCUUAGUGAGGAGAAUCCUGUACCGAUGUCAUGAGUGUCUUAUUUAUGAAAGACAGAAGUGUGACAAGAAGUGCAGUAAUGGUACGGGUUACAACAGCUAAUAGCACAACUAAGGAUCUUAUAGUGAGUCUUUGCCAAGAUCUCUUGCCAAAAGAAUGUACUAUACUGUCGGUUCUAUGCUUCAAAUUUUGGCAAGAAAAAUACAGUUUUAUGUAUUCGUUUAUCCAGCUGAUCAGCCUGGUAGGUCGGGUAUGCUCUUACCUAGAUCAACCAGUCUUGUACAGCACAGAAUAUUUUAGCACAUCCCAGGAUUAUAAAAAGAUGGAAAAACACUCAGUUAGAGUCUUCAACUCUUACUUGAAAAAGGCCCAUAAUGUCACACUCUCGUUUCCCUCAAAAGAGCGGGAUAAGAGGAAAAGUGGGGUAUCCACAUUCGUUAACUUCAUUCAUCAAAAGGACGCGCAAAUUGCUAUGUCUAUUGCCUUCUAUGAGAACUCAUAUAAUAUACCUCUGUACACAGUUCACGAUAACUUCAUAACAAAUAUACAUUAUUUUAAAUAUAUAUCUAAAAUCUAUCUACAUGUCAUAAAGGAAAUGGGGCCCCCUCUUAAAAUCAUUAACCGCUUUAUUUAUAAAAAUAUUAUGGAGCCGGCUAUAGCGAAGGGCCUCUAUAAUAAUGUAAAAGGCUACAAUUUGAAGUCUUUUGAUGAAAGGAUCAUACCAGAGCCUAUUUUAGAUGAGUUCUUAAAAAUUGGACUCAUUUCUCCAGAAGAUGUCACGAAUGCAGCUGGUUUAAAAAAAAUAAACAAUAAGUUGAAACAAAGAUAUCAACUCUAUUGUAAUGCGGUCUGCGGAUCUAAUAAGAAAUUUGAUGAUCAUUUGUUUAAAUGGAAUAGGUUUAGAGAUGCCCUGAUUGGGGAAAAUUGUAUACAUUAUUAAAAUGUUAUUUAAAACCCAUGGGGUAAGGCAUAAUGUUCCGUACACGACAUACAGUCGUACUAGAUCAACUUCAACAUGUAUCUUAUUGAACCGGAUUCAGUCCAAUUCUAGUAAGACAUUAAUAUUCCCGCACCCUAAGUUACUAAUUCCGUCUUUGGAGUAUAGAGAACCUGUAUCGGUCCAGGAUACAGCCCUCCUCAGCCAUAGUGUGAUGUCUCUCUUAGUAAGCUAUGUUUAUCCUGUCUUAUUAGGGUACGCGAAAGCUAAUAUCAUAUUCUAUUUUAAAAAUAGAGAAGUAGGUGAUAUCGCUAAACCACUAAAUAAACAGUCUAUUCCCUUAACGUUUGAUGAUGGUAGUCCUAUUUCUAAGUCAGAGAUAUAUGCUAGUGUGUUUAGUAGUAUAUUUAAAUUAAUUGAUAUUUAUGACGGUUUUGGGGUUGUUAGAAUAGCUAUUCGAGCACAUUUUGAAGAAAAUAUCCCCGGCCCUCUUCAACCUUUAAAAGAGGAGUUGCUAGAGGAGGCUCUCUCUGAAUGCAUUAAGCCAUCUUCUGGAGAAAUCGAUAUUAGUAAUUUACCUGUUAAAAGUCUUAGUUCUACUUCUCGAAAGUACCCUAAGAAUAUAACCGUUCCAAGGAAAUCGGGCAAUAUAUCCCUGAGGCCGUUCUUGGUGGCCGAUACUGAGACCAUAAUUAACAAAAAUAGUCAACAUGUACCCUAUGCGGUCGGUGUCAUGGUUGUUAAUCCGGGGAUUCCCGUUAGUAGGCGUGAAAGGAUCGAUACUUACUUCAGCGAAGAUUACUCUUCAAGAAUCUUCCCAACCUUUGAAGAAAGGAGCUGCCAAAUGCUCAAAUCAUUUAUCUUUAGGGUCGCGGCUAUUACUCGACAAAAUAGGUCUGCUAAAACAAUCUACUUUCAUAAUUUAGGUCGAUUCGAUGGCAUUUUUCUACUUAAGCACCUUGCAUUAUAUCAUCCUAAUUACACGGUCACCCCCCUUAUGAGAGACAAUAGACUCUACGAGGUAGCUGUCUAUUCUAAAAAAAGGCUAUUAUUUACGUUCCGAGACUCCUUACAUCUACUCCCCGGCAAACUAGAUGACCUUGCUAAGAAUCUAUGCCCUGAGUUGGGUUCUAAAGGAUCUAUUUCCUAUGAGGAUGUAAGACUUGAAAGUCUUAGUAUUAUGAAAGAGAGUUUGUUAGAGUAUAUGGAGCAGGAUAUUCUUCUGCUAGGGGGAAUUAUGCAGUCCUUCCAGGACAUAUAUUAUAAGGCUUACCAGGCAGACAUAGUAAAUAAGCUUACAAUAGCCUCACUGGCUCUAAGUCUAUUUCGUGAAAAAUAUUACGAUUACAAUAAGCAUCGUAUCCACAUCCCUAAUCAGAAUGAGGAUACAUUUAUUCGGCGUGGAUAUUACGGUGGGCAUACCGACGCAUACUUACCAUACGGUACUAAUUUAUACUAUUAUGACGUUAACUCUCUCUAUCCUUUUGUUAUCAAGGAAUUCUCAAUGCCUGGGGGUAUACCAGUCUGGCAUUCUGAUUUAGAAUAUAUGACAUUAGAUAACAUGUUUGGGUUCAUUGAAGCAUAUGUAGAAUGCCCAAAAAGUAUAAAUAAACCAUUUCUUCCCUAUGGGGAUAAUAAGGAUGGCACUCUUAUCUUUCCUACAGGCACCUUUGUUGGGGUUUACUAUAGUGAGGAGCUCAAGUAUGCUAGAGACAUAGGCUACACUAUAAUACCAAUUUGUGGAUACCUCUUCGAGGAGAUGGAAAGUCCAUUCAAGGACUACAUUAAUUCUCUCUUUGAAAGCAGAUCCAAUGCUAAAAAGAAAGGAAAUAACGCCCUAUCUUUUGUAUAUAAAUUACUAAUGAACUCGUUAUAUGGUAGAUUUGGCAUCAAUCCUCAAAGCACAAAAACCGAGAUGUGCAAUAAAUCUAAACGUGACCGUAUAUUUAGACGCCCUGAGUUUAUAGACGAUGUCUUUAUUAGAGAGGAUCUAUACAUGGUAUCUUAUCUAACCAAUCCGGGUAAGGGGCCUUCUUAUUGGGACCCCCCGAAGAACUCCGCGGUACAACUAGCCGCAGCGAUCACUGCCGGCUCAAGGAUCUAUAUGUACAAGUAUAUUUCAAGAGAAGACUGCUUAUAUACAGACACCGACUCUAUUGUCCUUGGUAAUCCACUUCCGGAGGAAGAUGUUUCCUCUUCUGUAUUAGGUAAAUUUAAAUUAGAAGAUAAGAUCUUGGAGGGAUUCUUUUUAGCACCUAAAUGAGCUAUACCACAGAAGAGUCAGAUGGCAAUAAGAAGGUCUAUAAGUACAAGGGACCGGGUAGAAAUGUUAUAACUCCAGAAUGGUAUAAAGAACAGUACGCCGACCCUUCCCGAAGUCUGAUAAAGAAGGUAACUUAUCAAUUUCGACCCGAUUGGAAAGAACUCUCGGUUAAAAAGAAAGAGAGUACAACCACUCUUAGAACUCUCAGUAACUCCAAGAGAAUACCUUUCUUUAAUGAAAAAGGUAAGUAUGUAAGUACAGAUCCACUUGAUAUCGAUGACUUGUCAUCUCUAAAUUACAUUGGAACAAAACUAUUAGAAAGUUUUAAAAGGAAAACAGCUAUUUUAGAAAAAGAGAAUUCGGCUCUUUCUCAGAAAUUACAGAAGCUGGAACAGGAAAGAGGUAUAAUAGCCCAGCGGAGAGUAGAAGAAGGAAAUAAUACCGAAGAUAAUAAUACAUUAGAGCAAAAUAAUCCUAAAAGGGCUGAAGAUAAUAUCAAUGGAGAUCUAUUGGAUCCAGAUACGAUGCCGCGGGAUAAAAAGCCCCCCUGAUAAUGGUUGUGGAUAAAAGAUAUAUAUACAACAUUAGAUAAAGGCCCAGGAGUGAGGAGGAAAUAGAAAAAGGUCGCCUAUAGUAUGAUUUGUUGCAGAACUUUGUUGCGUGAGUAGGAUGAAUACCUAUAGUAUGAUUUGUUGCUGUCACUAGACUACUCGAAAGAAUUCAUACCCCCAGCAAUCAAACUACUGCGCGAACAAGCAACGGAUUGAGCCGUUCCAAUCCUCUCCCUAUGGCGGGAAGUGCAGAAUUCAUUGAUUACUGCUUUCUUUUGAAUCGGAACUAUUCGAACAUCUCGUACUCAAUCAUAUAACCAGACUUUUAGUAAAGUACAGAAGGAAAAAGAAGGAAUUUCUGAACUUCAUUAAGGUAGCUUGCUUACUUAGUGCUUGCGAAAAGGUAAAACACUUCCUGCUUCAAGGCUGGCUAAUGAUAAUAGAUAGAUAUCUUCUUCUAGGGGAGCUAGUCUUAGUGGCGGUGCACCCAGUGGGAGUUGCAAUUCAAGUUGCAAUCUCUUCUUCCUGCCAGCGAGUUAGAAGUUCUUCCCUUUGCUGGUGCUUGAGUUGGAUUGGAUGAGGAUUGAGGAUUAGCAAGGAUUCUCCAGCAAUUUUUAGGUUUUACCUGGCAAGUCUAACUAGAUCUUUAUCUCUUGCUUGCUUUCAUUCUUUAGCGUUUGAAUGCAUCAAUUCAAUAAGGUCUUUUGUUAGGGAAUUUCCCAACAUCUUUGUGAAGGUCUCAAUUGAUUUUCUUGCAGUCAUAAGCUUUGUAAGAGCUGGUUUAUGAUAAUUGACUCUAGUAACUUGAAGCAGAAUCUCGUUCACUCCCCCGGCUGAGUCAAAUGAUUUGUGACAACAGAGGGAAGAGCCUAUCAAUAAGGGUCGUAUGCUGACUAUUUUGACAUACGAAAUCACCAAGUACAUAUGUGCUUUAAUACCAGAUGGGGAAAGGGUCACUGAUUACGACCUUACUGCUAUUAUUAAUAAAUAAUAUCCUUUCAAUGUUACACCUACAGGUAAGGUACCCUCCCCCUCGCGAAAUAGAAUAGAUUUCGCCUCUCAAACCUAUCUUCCCCAAUAAAGCAUAACAACUCUUUUCAGAGAAAAAGACAUCAUAAAUAUCAGCAGUUGCUACGAAGACCUCAUGGGAAAAUCGUCUAAAUCUUAUUUCUGGAAAACAUUUGACAAACUCCCGAUCAAAUAAGUCCAUUAAUACAAAGUUGAAUAGCAAUCUGGAGACCUCUCCAAGAGGAGGAGGAAUAUCAUCAGACCCUACUAAAACUUUAUCCCCAUCCUUUGUAUAGAUAGGUAGCUCAAGUAAAGAACUUACUAGUCUAAAUACAUAAUCAUUAUCGCCAACAAAAGGCUUAACGGCUUUUAAAACCAGUGCUUUAGUAAUCACUGAUGUUGAUGCGGACAUAUCAACCUUAUACAUCAUAUCAACAUUAUUCAUAUCUUCAAGACUCUGGAGAAAAGCAGGAAAUCUAUCCAUUAGUCGAAUUCCAUUUUGGGGCAAGGAACCAUAAAUAAGACGAUGCAAGGUAGCAGACAGGCCCAUUAAUACUAUUUGAUCCAUAAUAUUGGACGCCUUUAUUAUAAAUAUACGUUCUGGAUUUCUUUUAUUUACAUGUAUAUGAAUAUCCGGAUAAUCAGGUAAUAUAUCUUUUAAAAGCUUAUUCAUAUCUCCAUCUAAACAAGUAAAGUACUCUAGCGGGCCAACCUUGUAAGAACUGUUUUCAAUUUUUUGUAGAAUGAUAGACAAUUGGAAAGGUGUAAUACUAGGUAUUAGAUUCUCUGCUUUAAGGUAAUCAUGUACAUAACGUAUAUCCUUAGAUAGCUGUAAUUGUAAAUUAUUGUCUGUAGAAUACUUUCUCCUAAAUAAAUAGAUAAGAGGAUGAUAGGAAAUAGGCACAUUUAAAAGCAUAGCAUUCCUCGAGUUGUUCCGAUACAAAGAAUAAGAAAUAUAUAACAAUUGGUUGUUCAUCAUAAUAUUUAUCUUCAUACUAUAACUUCUCCGCAGCAUGGGUUAAUCCCAAAUGUAAAUAAGAUGGCAACUGCUAGUCCUAAGCUAACACCGAUAAUAAUAGAUUUAUUAGAAUCCGGUAUUUCAAUAUCCAUAUCCAUGAAGGGCCUAUCUUGAGCAAAUGCCUGUGACAGCGAUGCUGCUGGAUUAUUUACGCCCUCAAUUAAAGUCAUUUUAUUAAAGCCCGGUAUAACAUGAGCAUCAGGAUUAGUAAAGAUAGUAUCAUAAUUCUCAAUAGGACUAAAUAGGGUAUUUAAUCCUUCAAUUGGCAUAUUGAUACCAUCGCCAGGUACGAAGCCAUACCAUACAGUACAACCAAUACCCAUUUGGACCAGGAUUAAGAAUCGACCAUAAUACCCCUCAUUAAAUGUAAUUACUUCAACCAAGACACGAGAUGCCAGCGACUCCAUACUAUUAGAAACAGAGUCAGAAAUACCCUUUAACUUAAGUAAUGGAUUGCUGUUAAGACUACCUUUUGUUAACGAUAAGCCUAGGCUAUCUUUUAACUUUCUUAAACCCACUAAGGUAUCAGGAGCUCGGAGAUCUUUUAUUAAGAAUUCCCCUUGUCCUGGCAUAAAGCGAAAGCCAAUCGACAUCAUAUAAUUGUUUGCCUUUUCGGUUAAAUUAAUAAUAGGGUUCUUUAUAUCAAAAAAUGGUGCUUUAGUCAUUUCAAUAACAUUACGAGUAAACGCCGAUGGAUUAGUACGAAUCUUAAAUCUUUCUAAAAGAGAUGCAGUAGGAGUCAGAGUAGAAACAAAACUAUGAUUACUUGAACUAGCACUGCUAUCUUUCAAAGACAGAUUACGAAAUUUAUCAGUUAUAGUAAAUACAUCGUAGUUCUGUUCUAUUUUAGAUAGAACUUCGGGAACAGCUGAUAGACCAAUACGCUUCAUAAUGUUUUGUUUGUUGUUUGUUUCGGGUAAUAAUACAGGUCUUUUGCCGCCAUCUUUGGCGUGUGUCGCACCUUGACUAGUUAUUCCCCUCAGUUGGCGCAUGUCUGUUCUGUUUGUAACCCGUACCAUUACUGCACUUCUUGUCACACUUCUGUCUUUCAUAAAUAAGACACUCAUGACAUCGGUACGAGCCAGACAGCAUUGAGUGCUAAAAGACUCCCAACUGAAAGGUCUAGUAUCCCUGGAGUAGGGUCGCGUCCCACAUAUUAUUCCCUAAAGGUAGGUUGGUAGUUGGUAUGUCUUUUUACCCGUCUGGAAGGAAUCAAAGACUUAUUUAUGGAUGAGGUCUUCGGGAGUUUAGUUCCUGGGAUGACCCAUAGCUCUUAGUCCCUUGUUUCGGUGGUUGGUCUCUACCCUUUUCUGUCUCUUGGCGUCUUCCUCUUCUUUAUAUUCUAAGUGGGCCAAUCCGUCCAGUACCUAUGUCCAUGAGAAACCAGAAAUGUAAGUACUCUAAAAACUUGUUCAAUUAGCUUGGCUAAUUGCUUUCCUUUAGCCUGAAGGGUAUUAGAUCGAGCUUUUUUACGGGUCUAGCCUAGCACCAUAGCCCUUCUCUUGCUGCUUGGCCCGCCUUGAAUCAUUCCCCUAUCAUUUGAAAUGGUAUAUGUUGGAGAAGGUAAGGUGAAAUCUCCUAUGCCUAUGAUAUUACAUCUGUUAGUCCACAUUUCUUUAUGAGGGAAACUGGCCCAUAGCCCUCUCGUACAAGGCCUAAAACGGAUGAAUCAAAGCCUAUCAUCUCAGCCUUUCCAGCUGCCUAAUCCGAUAAGCCUGAACAUGGUCCAAGGAGUUCUAACAAUCGGGGGCCCUUGCUUUACUGAGUUUCCCUCAAGGUAUUUUUUAACUAGUCCAUGCCAUAGAAUUUAGUUCUAAGGCUUUCUCCAGCCACUAUGCAGUUAUAUAAUUAUGUUAUUUCAUGAGUUUUGUAUUUAUUUAAUAGUCUAUACCAGCGAUACUUAUUUUAAUUUUUAAUCAUUGCAAAUCAUGUUUAUUUUGCUUUUGGCCUUUAUAGGGUUUUAGAUAGCACUUUUUCAAUAUCAAAAGUGUUAUCUAAAGUGUUUUAAGGACUAAAAAUAAAAUAAACGUAAUUUUCAAGAACUCAAAACAAAUAAGCAAUUUUGCAAGGACAAAAUAAAAAAAAUGUAAAAUUGCAAUGACUAAAAAUAUAUUUAAACUUUUUAUUUAAAUAAUUUUCCACAAUAGGAGACAUCAUUAGCUCUUCCACUUAAGCCUAAUUCAUUCAUUGUGAUAAAUUGUUAUCAUAACUAGAUAAGACAUAGGAGUUUAAACAAAAUUGUUUAGAAGUUAGUUUUAAAUGUUUAAAUUUUAAUAUAUAUUUUAAUAAAAUAAUUAUCAAAAGUAAUUUGCUUAUAAAACAAAUAUCUACUUGUCUUUUGUAUGAAAGCGUAUUACAAAAGAAUAAAAAUUUAAUCCAUGCUUUUGUAUUAUAUUUUCAAAUGAAAAAGAAUUGUCUUUUUCAUAACUAUAUUUAUAAAAACAAAUAACAUUUUAUAAAUAAUAAAAUGUACUUUAGUAUAAUAUCAUUUGCAUUUUGAAAAUUUUAAACAAUAAUAUAAUAACAUUUUAUAAAUAUACUAUAUAAAUAAAUAGAUAACAAACUCAUGGAAACAACCUAAUUAUAAUUGCAUAGUGGUCAUUAAAUAAAUUAUUAUUCUAACACCAGGCUUUAAGUUCUAGUACAACUAGUGCAAAAGAUAACAUGUAUGGACAAGUCUACAAAGUGUUAAACAUCCUUUAUCAUUUGGUGAAGAACUAACUAUCCACGUUAUUAGACAAGAGAGUUCCCAUUCAAAUUGUCAUUCCAAGUUUGACCAAUGGCCUAUAAUCGAACAUUUAAAAUAGCAUCUCAUUCUAAGCCACUAUUAAUAUCAAGUGAUAUAUAGACCUACAAAUGACACCAUUUCUUGGCUUAGAAUCCAACAUGGUAACUUCAAUCUCAUUUACUAAAGGUCUAUCUUUUAAUAUCUAGAUGACCUCGCUAUUAUACUUUGUCAUGGAUACUCAUGUAUUAUUCAACUUUCUUUUAAACAACCCAGAUGUCCAAGUUCCUUUUCCAUGAAAAUAAGAACAUUUGGGUUAUUCAAAAGAUAGUUGAACAAUACAAAAGUAUCCAUGACAAAGUAAAAUAUGAAGUACACUAAAUAUCAUAAUAAGUAACAUUUGUGGUAACUUAAAAAAUACAUAUUUCUUACAUAUUAAAUAGAUAGUAAACUCAUGGAAAAACCUAACUAUGUAAUUCCCUAGUGGGCAUUGAAUCACUAACUCUUCAGCAAUGCUAUAAAAGGUCAUUCAAUUACAACUAAUUCGAAACAGAGCGUCUCUCGACAAGUCCAAUAAUCUUAAACAUCUCUUAUCAUUUGGCAAAGAACUAAUUGAUCCUUAUAAUUAGGAAAGAAAGAAUUUUCCAUGCAAACAACCCAUCCAACAUUCAUGAAUUGCCUAGAAUCAAAUAUCAUGACUAUUGCCUCGUUAUACUCCUUUCGCAAUAUCAAGUGAUGGAUCUACAAAAGACAUUCUCUAUUUCACACUAUUAGUACUAACAUGACUCUUUAUGGCAUUGUAGAAGAACUAUUGUGAUUAAAUACCACUAUGCAGUUAUAUAAUUAUGUUAUUUCAUGAGUUUUGUAUUUAUUUAAUAUGUGAGAAAUAUGCAUGUAUUUUUUCAUGUCACUAGUAAUGUAUUAUGGUAUCUAUAUAAAUAUCUCAUUUUUCUUGUUUUACGUUGUCAUGGAUACUUUUAUAUUAUGUCAUGCUAGAAAUAGUGAUAGAGUUACAUGAAUAUCCCAAAUGUGUUUCAAUGGAAAUGAAACAUAUUUGGGUUAUUCAAGUAACUCUAUCACUAUUUCUAACAUGACAUAAUAUAAAAGUAUCCAUGACAACGUAAAACAAGAAAAAUGAGAUGUUUAUCUAGAUACCAUAAUACAUUACUAGUGACAUGAAAAAAUACAUGCAUAUUUUUCACAUAUUAAAUAAAGACAAAACUCAUGAAAUAACAUAAUUAUAUAACUGCAUUUGGGUUAUUAAAAUUAAGAAAGUUGAAUAAUAUAUACAAAGGAAUCCAUGACAAAAUAAUUAAAAUAAGAAUAAUAGAAGACAAUAAAGAUAUCAUUAUAUAUGCCUUUGGUCAAUGAGACAUGUUACCAUGUACGACUCUAGGCCUAGAAAUAAUCUCAUAUGUGUGUCCUAAAGUGAAUCAGUCGAUCACUAGAAAGGGAAUUGAAACAAUGCAUGCCAAAUUAUUAGAUUAAUUUUAUGGCUUAUGCACGUUGGGUGUAAAAACUAAGAAGUUGUUAUAUAUGCAAUAGAAGAAUCGUAGUUGAUUCAAGAGAGGAAAAUAGUUUGUCCAAUAAUAUCACUCAUGAGAUGGCUAAACAAUCAAACUUCAUACCUAAGCCACAACAAAAGCCAUGAUGGUGUAAAUUUAAAAGUUAUGGAGGAAAGUUCAAAAUUUGAAAAGUUAAAGAUAAACUCACUUGAUCAAAUAGUCAAAGGUAAGAGAUUUGGUCAACUCAUUAGUGAUAUUGUGGUAAAUAUGUUGAACUUUUUACUAGAUAGAAAAUUAUAGUUUUGAUUGCACAAAUAGCUUGCUAAUGAGUUUCUACGGACAUUAAUUAGUGAAAUUGAAUGUUUUAAGGUAAUUAGUGAUUUAAAAAUUUAAUUAAGAUGAUUAAAGAUAACUAAGUCCAAUUUAUUUAGUUAAUUCUUUUUAUAGCUUAAUUCAUUUCAUUGAUUGUGAAAAUGACUUAUAAGUCAAAAAUAAAUUAUAGGACUAAGGAAUUUAAUAGAUUUUUUUUAUUAAAAUUCAAUUAAAAUAAAUUGAACCUUUAAAAAUUAAUUAGAGAUGUCCCUAAUUUAAAAACUAGUUUAAGUGUUAUUGGUGACCCAAAGGGACUAAAUUACACAAAUACCCUAAUCCUAGAAACCAUAAUCCUAAUUAGGCCUCGUAUUAGUCCAAUUAAAAUGAAACGUAGACCCUAGGUCCAAGAGAGACAUUGAUCCUAGCUAGCAAGGGAGGGGUACUUUAACUCAUAAUUUGUUUUUUCUCUCUCCCACUUUAUGUUUUUGUGACUCAUUCUCUCUUAUCUGCCUCUCCAACUUAUCCCAAAUGCUUCAACUUCUCACUACCAUUUUAAACUUGGCAGAUCCUAUGGUGCCUAAGCUGCACAGGUCUUGCAUUGUGUUUAAGUGAAUAUGGAUCAUCAAACGUCUUAUGCGAAAAAUGUGUGGCUACAAUUUCAAUAACUGCAAUUUCAAUAACAAAGCCAGAUGCAAGGGUCCUGAAUGCUAGCCCAAGUUUUGUUAAAACAAUCAUGUGAACCCACUUUCUAUUCUCAAGUUACAAUCAAUUAACUUUGCAAAUUUAAGUCAAUUAAUAUAUAAAUUCAAAAGUUUUUAAAUGUGUUUUGAAAUUGAUCUAAAGUGAUUGUUUUUAUCUUGGUUCUUUACAAAACCGAUGUAAAAAAUCAAUUUUCUAAAUCAGUUUAGAGAACUAAUUAGAAUGGAUCUAAAAAUUUCACUUUUCAAAUUGGUUUGGAUUCCAAUCGAUCAACUCUCUAGAUCAAUUAAGAACUUAACCUAUCUGGAACUUUCAUUUUCUACUCAUAAAAUGUCAUUUGUCACCAUUAAAAUACUUUUAGUAUUCAAAACACAAUGAGUAUAAAUUAAAAUUUCACACCAAAUAGCGUGAGAGAAAUGCAUAUAUGUGAAUUAAAAGCUUACACUAUGGCGAUUGCAAGAUAUGCUUAAAGUGAAACACAAAGGAAGGGAAUACACCUGAACUGCACGACAAUUUUUUAAGCCAUUCGGAUCUAACACAUCAUAGGAUUUUUUUAGCCAUCACUGUGACUCAAACCUGUAAAGUCAAGAAAAGCAACCUUAACAUUUUAACAAAAAUUACAAAAACAUGAUGAACUUAUGUCAUUUAUAAAGUAUCUACGUUCCUUAUGCGCAGUGGAAUGAGUAAAUAUAACAUAAUCAUACAUUACGUAAUACAAGCGACUUAUGGAAAUGGUUUCAAUAAGUAUAGUGAUAUUUAUUUUAAAAAAUGAGUAUUAAAUUUGCUACAAGCAGCUCCAGGUUACUCAUAUUAAUUGUUAUGUGUUUGUGUGUGCAUCAUGAUCUCUCUCUCUCUCUUUGUCUCUCUUUCUCUCUCUCUCUCUGUAUAUAUAUAUAUAUAUAUAUAUAUAUAUAUAUAUAUAUCAUAUUAUGUCAAAUUACAUUAUUGAAAUAAAAUUUCACAAUAUUUUUCACACAAACAAGAUUUGAUUCAAAUCAUUUAAUUAGAUUACUCACAUUUAGUUCGAUAUCAUGGGUGCUAACAACUAGACACAAUACUAAUUUACAAAGAAUUAUAUAUGUUUGUGCGUUCCAUUUUGGCCUCCAUUGGUAUAUAUGACGUGGCCUAUGAAGGAAACAUUGUCAUUGAUGACAAGUAGAGAUCUCCUAUUAAAGUUGUCGGCAAGGUAUAAUGAAUGCAACAAUUUAAAUUUUUUUCCCAUGAUUUUUAUAAAUGCUUUCAUUUCAGAAGGUAAACAACACACAUUUAAUCAAUUGGCAAACAUAUCAAUACAUACAGUGGAUAAAGACUAUCAUGAUCAACCUAAUACUAUAAUAAAGCAUCACAUUUCAACAACAAAUCUAAUAACUCAAAAUUUAAGUUUCAUAAAAGAUAAAAAGAUGAAAAAUAGGUAGGCAACUUAUAAAAGGUUGAUAUUGCCAAAAUCAUGGGGUGAAAAUAUAUAACUUGCUAAAAAAACUUGUAGUAGCACUAUGCUCAGAGGACAAAAUUCAUCUUGAAUAACCUACACCCUGAGUAAAAAUAAUAUCUUUAAAUAUCCCAUAUUGAUCUCAAAGUCAUAUAAAGAGAUGAAUCAUAUUUUAUAUAAAAGAAGUAGAGAAUCUUUUUUUUUUUUGCAACUAUAACAUAAAAUGUGAAUUAUUCAUAAAUAUUGGCCUAUAAAACAAGAUAUAAUUGUUUCCAUAAAUAUGGACAUCUUUGAAAGGAUUGAGUGCAAAUAAAAUUGGCUCCACAAUCCAAAACUGAGUCACACAAAGGGUGUUAAGUUUCUCAUGGAACUUUGCUCUUUAAUAGGGUGCGAUUCCAUGGCAAAAAUCAACAAAAUCAUAGAGGAAAAUAACAUUCUUAUCAACCUUAGUGUCAUAAGUUGUGUUGUAUGUGGAUAUUACAAUUUAUGAAUAGAAGAGAAAUAAUACAUACACACACAUAUAUAAAGAAGACUCACAUAAUAAAUAAAAUAAGAGUCACAAAUACCUAAAUUUAUAAUACAAGAAUAAGAAAAAAUAAAAACAAAAACAAUCACCUAAUUACAAAAUUCAAAAUGGUGGUUUAGGUCCCGCUAAUGCUAGAAACUCAUAUGUUCUGAUAAUAAUGGGAUUUGGAAAUGCCACAUGCAAGAGAUCCACACAACAAGUAUAGUUAGGAAGAGUAGCAAGUAGUGAUCACCUAAGCAUUGGAAAAAAUGAUAAAGAGGAAAGUAUUACCUUGUAUACUUGCUCAUUGAAAUGGAGGUGAAUGAAAGUUCGGGUGAAAAGGCAAAAAAGACUUGGGUUGGUAUAUGUGAAAUUUGGGAUGAAACAAAAAUAACACGCAAAAUGUCAAAUACUAAGAUUUAUGUUAAGAUGUCUCACUCUCAAUAACACUAUUUAUUUCAAUGAAUUUGAGGGUUGGUAUCCGUAAUGGGAGAAUUGGGAAAUGGAGAAAAGGAAAAGCGAGAAAGUGAAGCAAGAGACAAGUCUAAAACCAAGGAUCAUAACAAGAAUGGAAUGAAGUAUUGAUUAUGAGCAAAGAGAAUGACAAGUGAAUGAAGUGGUGAUUCUUUUGUCAUAUUAAUUAUUUUUCUCAAAAUCUUUGUACUACUUUAUAAAGAAUGAAAAAAUAACUAAAAAUAAAUGUACUUAAUGUAUUAAAAAUAUAUAAUUAAAUAAGAAUAAAAAUUAAUAUUUAUUAUAUGAAGAUAUAUGAAAAAAUAAUUUAAUGUUUCAAAAAUUUUUAAAGUAUUUAAUAUUUAUCAUAUAAAGAAAGUCUAAAAAUGAAAGAAAUUAGUCGAGUUGAAAGAAUGAUGAAAUUGUAAAGGAUACCUCGUCGAUAUACUCACCAAAGUGGAGGCAGACGAAGGUUUAGGCGAUAAGGACAUGGGGUUUGGUUGAUCCAUAUGGAAUUUGGCAUAGAGAGAAGAGGAAGAUGAAAACUUAAAAAUUAUAGGAUCUAUUUUAAUGUGCCUCAGUCUUAGUAUUGUAACACUUAUUUCAAUAUUUUAGGUUUGUAUGAUAAAUAGAGAUAAGUGUAGGGUUUUAAAGAGAAUGUAGAUGUAGAAGGGGGAAGUGAAGAAGUGUAGAGAUAAGUGUAGGGUUUUAAAGAGAAUGUAGAUGUAGAAGGGGGAAGUGAAGAAGUGUAGGGUUUUCUUGAAAUCUCCGCACUACUUUAUAAAAAUAUAUUAAUUUAAUUAAAAAAUAAAUGCAUUUAAUGGAAUAAAAAAUAAAUGCAUUCAAUGCAAUACAAAUAUCCAAUGCAUUUAUGAAUAAUAAAUAUUUAAUCCAUGUAUGAAUAAAAAUAAUCAAUAAACUCAAUAUUUAUCAUAUAAAGAAAGAAGAAAAAUUAAUAGAAGAAUUUAAUGUUCUGAAAAAUAUUUAAAGCAUUUAAUAUUUAUCAUAUAAUAAAAGUAGAAAAGUCAAAGAAAAAAAUGAGUUGAAUUGAAAGAAUGAUGAAAGUGAAAGGGUCACCUCUUCGAUUUCCUCAUCAAAAUGGAUCUAAACAAAUGAGUUGAAAGAAUUUAAUUUUGGGUUGAGUAAACGGAACAUGCAAAUUUUGACAUUCUAGGAUCUAUGGUACGAUGUCUCACUUUUAGUAAUGCAACACUUAUUUUAAUAAGUUUGGGGAUAGGCAUAAAAAAUGCAGGUAAAAAGAAAGUUUUAGAGAGAACAUCGGGGAUGAAAAAAAGGAAAAGUGAGAAAGUGAAGUGGCGAGACAAAUCUGAAACCAACCAAUCUAAAAACAUUUCCUAUGGUUACAAAAAAUGUCGGCAAAUUGACCCCAGGGUGUCACUUUUACAAACUUUUUCUGAAACAGGGUCUGUUUUGAAAGUAAUUACCAAGGGGAUAUGUUUUCAAAGCUUUCCGCCAUUACUAUAAGCGAAACAUCACGUGGUAGGGACAGCAUGGCAUUUCGCCAGUGGGAUUGGCAAAACAGGCAUGGCAUUUCGCCAUUGGGGUUGGCGAAACAAGCACCCAUCACGUCAUGGCAGCAGUGGGUUUCGCCGGUGGUAUUAGCGAAAUAGGCGUGAGAGUUUUGCGAUUGACGUGGAGCGCAUGCAGUGGCCAAACUGGAAAAAAAUACAUACUAAGAUUAAAGAGGAUUUUAAAAAGGAAAGAAAAAAUAUAUACUAAAAUUAAAAUAUUAACAUAAUAAAUGGGAAAUAAUUUUCCUAGACAUAAAUGGAAAGAAAAAAUAUUAACUCUCAUUUAUUAUGUAAUUAAAAAGGAAAUUUGAUUAUUAUGUAAUUAAAAAGGAAAGAAAAUAAAUUACAUAAUAAACGAGAGUUAAUUACAUAAUAAUGACUAACAAAAAAGAAAGGCAGAACUUAGAAUUAACCCGAAACAUAUAACACACACUCCAUUUUGGGUUAUCACCUAAUUUAAAAGGAAAGAAAAUUAGUAUUCAUCUCUAUUAUUAUGUAAUUAAAAAGGAAAGAAAAUAUUCUUAUGGAUUUGCUCUCAAGAUAUUUCGAGUUAAUUCUAGGUCCUGGCUUUCUUUUUGUUAGUGAUUAUCAUGUAAUUAAGUCUCAUUUAUUAUGUAAUUUAUUUUCUUUCCUUUUUAAUAACAUAAUAAUCAAAUUAAUUUUAAAUAAUUACAUAUAAAGGAAAGAAAAUAUUCUUAUGGACUUGCUUACCGUAAUGGUGGAAACCUUUGAAAAAAAGUCACCCUUGAUAAUUACUUUCAAAAAAGACCCAAUUGCAAAAAAAGUUUGUAAAAGUGACCCCUGGGGUCAAUUUGCCCAAAAAUGUCACCUCAAUUUUUUCAGAUUAGUUCUCAUAUAACUGAUGGAAAAAGUUAUUAUAAAAUGUAUUAUUUGUACUACUGAACAGAGUUCGCAAAGAAAUGAAUGAGGUGAUGAUUGUUGGCAAACAACGAUUCUUUUGCCAUAUUAUAAAUCUUUAUUGAAAUCUCUCAAAAACUUUAUAAAAAAUUAUUAACUUAAUUAAAAAUAAAUGCAUUUAAUGUAUUCAAUAGUUAUCAUAUAAAGAAAGAAGAAAAAUGAAAGGAGAAAUUGAUGUUUUGAGAAUAUUUAUUAAAGUAUUUAUUAGUUAUCAUAUAAUUAAGAAAGUAGAAAAAUGAGUCGAGUUGGAAGAGUGAUGAAAGUGCAAGUGUAACCACAUACUCGUCAAAUUGGGGGUGAAUGAAGGUUUGGUUGAAAGGACAUAGGGCUUGCAUUGACCCAUGUGGAAUUUGGGGUCAAGAGAAGAAGAAUAUACAAAUUUUGAAACUCUAGGAUUGAUGUUAAGAUGGCCCAAUGUAUAAUGCAAGGUUUAUUUCAACAAUCUUGAGGGUUGGUAUCAAAUAUGGAAGGAAAUGAAGGAUUUGAUCAGAGAGAAUGUGAGAAUGGGGAAGUGAAUGAAGCGGUGAUUCUUAUGUCAUCUUAUAAAUCUUUCUCAAAAUCUAUGUACUCUAAAAAAAAUAUUAAAACAAAAGGCAGUAGUAUUUAAUUUUAUGAAAAUAUUGUAAUAAUUUAAUAUUUAUCAUAAAGAAAGUAUAAAAAUGAAUAGGAGGAUUUAAAGUUUUAAAUAUAUUUAAACAUUUAACAUUUACCAUAUAAAGAAGGCAGAAAAAUAAAAGAAUAUGUGACGAGUUGGAAGUAUCAUGAAAGUGAAAGCAUUACCACAUCAAUGUACUCAUCAUCAAGAUGUGACAAGCAAGGCAAAAAGGACACAUGGCUUGGAUUGACCCAUAUGAAUUUUGGGGUCUAGGGAAGAGGAGGAUGAGAAUUUUGGAUUUAUGUUAAAAGUCAUUUUCCUCUAUAAUGCAAGGCUUAUUUCAAUAAUUUCAAUGGUUGGUAUCUAUAAUGAAGGAAUAUGGAGGGUUCGAAAGAGAACGUUAGAGAUGGAGAAGGGAGAAAUUUAGAAAAUGAAGUUGCAAGAGAGAUAUAAUUGGUAAAUAUUGUUAAUGCAAUUUUAUCUUAAUCCAUAAUUAUUUUUUUUUCUUUGUAAAAAGCUUAAUGUGAUUCAUGUUGCAUCAUUUAGAAAGAUAAUUAAGCAUAAAAGUAUUCUUUAGUUAAAGCACAUGACAUAAAAUUUUCAAGGGAGUUUAAAAAUUUAAAAUAUUGUGACUAUUACAAUAGGUUAGGCACCGAUGACUUUUCUAUGUAGUACAAAUUGUCUAAUACAAUUCACGUAAUGGACAAGUUAAUUGGCACAUCCACAUGCUUUGUCUUUCAAGUAUUGAGUAGCACUCAUAGAUCAUUCGAUAAAUAUUGAUGUAUAUCAUUCUUAUAUGCACCAUCUUACAUAUUUCAUGGUACAAUGCAAUGUUCAAUGAUGUAAUAAUGUUUUAAUUAUCAUUCUCAUAUCUAUUUUGCUUGCAUAUAAUCAGUUUUAAUGAAACAAAUAUUUUUAAAUCAGAGCUUUGAAUUGUAUUAGACAAUAUGUACUACAUAGAAAAGCCAUUAAUGCCUAACUUAUUGUAAUAGAAAGGUCUUAUACUUUUGUCUGGUAUCAUUAAAACUAAUAUUUAGAUAUCAUCCACCAUAUUAAUGCAAGGGAUAAGAAUUUUACCAAACCAAUCACAUAUACAUAACUACUUUUCUUUUAUAGAAUUUUCUUCCCCUUUCAGUUUUUUUAGAAGAAAAAAACUUGUCUUAUUGCACAUAAUUUCUAACUUAUAAAAAACAUUUACAAGAAAUUCAAAAGCACAAAAAUUGUAAAAGACAUCAAGUCAUCAUCAAAAUAAUGCAACCAGAAGAUUAGAAGAUUGAUGCACAAGCACUAUAAUAAUCUUAAGUAUCUUUUAGUGGUUACAGUACAAUUUGCAAAAGUAAUUAAUACGAGAACAGGGCAUAUGAGUCAUUCAUUUCAAAAUUGUUUUAUUUAGGCUUAAAUAUCUUUUAGUGGUUACAAUUUAAUUUUUGUCUUAUAAAAUUAUUAUUAUUAUUUUAAUAGUUUUGUUCCAAUGUAAUUUAGAGAUGACAAGUCAUUGAUAUCAAGUGGAUCUGUACUUACAUAUUUACCUUUUUCAUUAAAGAAAGGUAUUCUCUUGGAGUUACUGAGAGUUCUAAGAGUGGUUGUACUCUCUUUCUUUUUAACCGAGAGUUCUUUCCAAUUGGGUCGAAACUGAUAAGUUACCUUCUUUAUCAGACUUCGGGAAGGGUCGGCGUACUGUUCUUUAUACCAUUCUGGAGUUAUAACAUUUCUACCCGGUCCCUUGUACUUAUAGACCUUCUUAUUGCCAUAUGACUCUUCUGUGGUAUAGCUAUAGCAUUUAGGUGCUAAAAAGAAUCCCUCCAAGAUCUUAUCUUCUAAUUUAAAUUUACCUAAUACAGAAGAGGAAACAUCUUCCUCCGGAAGUGGAUUACCAAGGACAAUAGAGUCGGUGUCUGUAUAUAAGCAGUCUUCUCUUGAAAUAUACUUGUACAUAUAGAUCCUUGAGCCGGCAGUGAUCGCUGCGGCUAGUUGUACUGCGGAGUUCUUCGGGGGGUCCCAAUAAGAAGGCCCCUUACCCGGAUUGGUUAGAUAAGAUACCAUGUAUAGAUCCUCUCUAAUAAAGACAUCGUCUAUAAACUCAGGGCGUGAUAGCAAGGUGCUCCCCUUUAUUUGAAUACCCACCUACGGCUUUGAUUGUUAUUACUUCUGCAGGAGCUACGACGUCAUUCCUUGCGGCAACCACUGGAAUAUUACAGAACGAUCUAAAGAGGGUCAUUGCUUAUUCAACUUGCAGUCAAUUAGGCUAUAUGAUCUUUGCUUGCGGCAUCUCUAACUAUUCAGUUAGCAUCUUUCACUUAAUGAAUCACGCCUUUUUCAAAGCAUUACUAUUCCUGAGUGCAGGUUCGGUGAUUCAUGCCAUGUCGGAUGAGCAAGAUAUGCGGAAGAUGGGGGGGCUUGCCUCCUCGUUCCCUUUUACCUAUGCCAUGAUGCUCAUGGGCAGCUUAUCUCUAAUUGGAUUUCCUUUUCUAACUGGAUUUUAUUCCAAAGAUGUGAUAUUAGAGCUCGCUUACACUAAGUAUACCAUAAGUCGGAAUUUUGCUUUCUGGUUGGGAAGUGUCUCUGUCCUUUUCACUUCUUAUUACUCUUUUCGUUCACUUUUUCUAACAUUUCUAGUACCAACUAAUUCAUUCGGGCGAGACAUCUUACGAUGUCAUGAUGUGCCCAUUCCUAUGGCCAUUCCUUUAAUACUUCUGGCUCUCGGGAGUCUCUUUGUAGGAUACUUGGCCAAAGUGUGACCCGUUAGCCCAUAAGUAAGUACUGUGACGAAGCGGCUGUUGCUCACCCGACACGAUCGUACGAGGUCACAAUUCACCCAACACGAUCAUCCGGGGUGAACAAGAAUUGGGGAUCGGAUGCGGGCGAAAUUCCCGCCAAUGGCUGAGAUGUUCAGUCGACUCCUUAACCUUUGUGGGGGUCCGGACCCCUUACGAGUGAGCAGAAAAGGGAGGAGGAAAGAGGCCCUGGCGAACCGUCAUAAUUAGUUAACAAGUGUAAGCUUCGCUGCCCGACAGUAUGGAGUACUGACCACACCGAGGGACAGGCCCUGAAGUGAAGGACAGGAACGAGCGGAAUCAAUGUGUUCCAAUUUCUGGCCUUGCAUCGACCAUCUAAUGGACCAUGGACUAAACGGCCACUGCCUGAAAGGACUAUGUCCCGUGGACCGCCGCCCCCCACAAGGUACAUCUCGCGCCUAUGGGCCGCUAUAACUAUCCAAGAAGACACUCGAAACUGGAAGGAUAAACAAACCCACCCGGUGGACUGCCGAGCUACAAGUCCCACGACACAGGAGCGGGAUUCUCUAAAAAGCCAAGGUCGCGGGUGGCCAAGAGGGCCCACUUGGAGACUUGGGAUCUCAGCAGGAAAUGCGAAGGUUGCUUAAAGCCGGCCGAUAGGCGAAAGAGAAUCAACUAGUUUAGUUCGGAUCUGAGUAGGCUUAUCUUAUAAUAGGGAAUACUCUAACCCUGGUAACUGGGGCCUGGCCAAAGUCCAGGGUGGCUCAAAGUUCGAUCAAGCAGAUCCCUGUCCUGUGCCCUAUUCACUAAGAGGGGGUAACCUUGGGCAAUACCAAUCCAUUUUUGGUUUCUAUAAGCCCGGGGGGAUUUAUUAUCCAGGGAAUACUCCUCCAGGUUAUAAAGCCCACUAGGACUACUAAGGUGGGUGGAAAAGCCUGGAUGAGCACUCCACUACUUAAUCUACUGGCGUGGCGUUUCCGUAUGUUUUUGAUCAAUAGAACAGGAAGAGGAGGAAAAAAAAGCUUAUGAUGAGCAUCUAUUUGAGUCGAUUAAUCAUCCCUUGCAUCAUCCUUACACCGGUUCUCUUGUGUCUUUCUUUCUCUUUCGAUUUGUUGGGUUUUUCUAAGAUCCAAAGUCUUCUCUUACAGACUGGCCUUCGCGCUCUUUUUCGGCUUGUGGGUUGGGAGGUUCCCCUCAUAAUUAUUCUUUGUGUUCUUUCGGGCCUCGAAUCCGGGUAUACGUUGCACAUGAUGGAUCCAGCAGGAGGUCAGCCUGCUGCCAAUCCUGCAGCGGAGCAACCCUCAAACGUGCCUUCAGGCGCAUCGACCUCGGGCUGGAGAAGUUUCGAAGAAGGUGUUUUGUUAGAAUCUUCAAACGAAUCCAGCGAAGCGAGCGUGAAUCAGCAGCCUGUGAUUCCCGAACUUGAACCUCCGCUUCUCGAUGACAACACCCGGCGAGCAGAGCUCGCUGUUCGAUUGAGGGCGAAUUGGUGGGGGAUCGCUUAUAACGAGCGAAUCCUCGACUCCUUCGUCCGGAGUCAACUUGCAAUCGAAAGGCACAUAGAGGCCGCACUUGUGGCGGACGGAUAUUCCCCUCAAGUAGUCUUUGAAAGAAGACAUAUGAUUCGUGGCUUUCUUUUCUAUCCGGAGGGGCAUGCGCUGAGUGAAAACGAUUACGCGGGUUAUCUGACCAAAAUUGCCAAUUUUGGUACAAGGCAAAGCAUUCCCUAUCAGCGGGUGAUCCGAACCGUCCAUAACUCUCAUCCCUUUUUAGAUUAGAUAUUCUCUUUUUCUUUCAAUAGCCGGCAAAAUGACUACAGGAUCAUCGGUCUACUCUACCUCAAUUCACCAUUUCGAACUUUAUACAGAAGGUUUUUCCGUACCAGCUCCUUCUACCUAUACCGCUGUUGAAGCACCUAAAGGAGAAUUUGGUGUCUUUCUGGUCAGUAAUGGAAGCAAUCGUCCCUACCGUCAUAAAAUAAGAGCACCUGGCUCUGCCCAUUCACAAGGACUCGAUUCUCUGUCCAAACAUCACAUGCCAGCAGAUGUGGUCACCAUCAUAGGUACUCAAGAUAUUGUGUCUGGAGAGGUGGAUAGAUAGGACUACGUCUUGCUCGAUCAGGAUGCUAGCUUUAUUGCGAGCCAAAAACCUUGUUUGCGGCAUUCCCCCGGUCAAAAUAGAUAAAUUAUGGAAUUCUCUGUAAGAGCUGCGGAACUAACAACUCUAUUAGAAAGUAGAAUUACCAACUUUUACACUAAUUUUCAAGUGGAUGAGAUCGGUCGAGUGGUCUCCGUUGGAGAUGGGAUUGCACGUGUUUAUGGAUUGAACAAGAUUCAAGCUGGG